CGUUGAUUACGUCCCUGCCCUUUGUACACACCGCCCGUCGCUACUACCGAUUGAAUGGCUCAGUGAGGCUUUCGGACUGGCCCAGAGAGGUCGGCAACGACCACUCAGG
rnacentral:rRNA from 1 species